ACGCUGGCGGCGUGCUUAACACAUGCAAGUCGAACGAUGAUGCCCAGCUUGCUGGGCGGAUUAGUGGCGAACGGGUGAGUAAUACGUGAGUAACCUGCCCUUGACUCUGGGAUAAGCCUGGGAAACUGGGUCUAAUACUGGAUACUACCUCUUACCGCAUGGUGGGUGGUGGAAAGGGUUUUACUGGUUUUGGAUGGGCUCACGGCCUAUCAGCUUGUUGGUGGGGUAAUGGCUCACCAAGGCGACGACGGGUAGCCGGCCUGAGAGGGUGACCGGCCACACUGGGACUGAGACACGGCCCAGACUCCUACGGGAGGCAGCAGUGGGGAAUAUUGCACAAUGGGCGGAAGCCUGAUGCAGCGACGCCGCGUGAGGGAUGACGGCCUUCGGGUUGUAAACCUCUUUCAGUAGGGAAGAAGCGAGAGUGACGGUACCUGCAGAAGAAGCGCCGGCUAACUACGUGCCAGCAGCCGCGGUAAUACGUAGGGCGCAAGCGUUGUCCGGAAUUAUUGGGCGUAAAGAGCUCGUAGGCGGUUUGUCGCGUCUGCUGUGAAAGCCCGGGGCUCAACCCCGGGUCUGCAGUGGGUACGGGCAGACUAGAGUGCAGUAGGGGAGACUGGAAUUCCUGGUGUAGCGGUGAAAUGCGCAGAUAUCAGGAGGAACACCGAUGGCGAAGGCAGGUCUCUGGGCUGUUACUGACGCUGAGGAGCGAAAGCAUGGGGAGCGAACAGGAUUAGAUACCCUGGUAGUCCAUGCCGUAAACGUUGGGCACUAGGUGUGGGGGACAUUCCCACGUUUUCCGCGCCGUAGCUAACGCAUUAAGUGCCCCGCCUGGGGAGUACGGCCGCAAGGCUAAAACUCAAAGGAAUUGACGGGGGCCCGCACAAGCGGCGGAGCAUGCGGAUUAAUUCGAUGCAACGCGAAGAACCUUACCAAGGCUUGACAUUCACCGGACCGCCCCAGAGAUGGGGUUUCCCUUCGGGGCUGGUGGACAGGUGGUGCAUGGUUGUCGUCAGCUCGUGUCGUGAGAUGUUGGGUUAAGUCCCGCAACGAGCGCAACCCUCGUUCUAUGUUGCCAGCACGUGAUGGUGGGGACUCAUAGGAGACUGCCGGGGUCAACUCGGAGGAAGGUGGGGAUGACGUCAAAUCAU
rnacentral:rRNA from 1 species